rnacentral:tRNA from 1 species
AGCCCCGAAAAAGUCAGGCUGCAAACCUGAGCAAGGCAUUUAGCCCGGGGCUU